rnacentral:misc_RNA from 1 species
GAUGAAGAACGCAGCGAAAUGCGAUAAGUAAUGUGAAUUGCAGAAUUCAGUGAAUCAUCGAAUCUUUGAACGCACAUUGCGCCCGCCAGUAUUCUGGCGGGCAUGCCUGUUCGAGCGUCAUUUCAACCAUCAAGCCCCCGGCUUGUGUUGGGGACCUGCGGCUGCCGCAGGCCCUGAAAAGCAGUGGCGGGCUCGCUGUCACACCGAGCGUAGUAGAUUUCAUCUCGCUCAGGGCGUGCUGCGGGUUCCGGCCGUUAAACCACCUUCAUAACCCAAGGUUGACCUCGGAUCAGGUAGGAAGACCCGCUGAACUUAAGCAUAUCAAUAGCGGAGGA